CAAUUUUCAAACUAAUAAUGAUCAUUUUGUGUUAGCAACAAUUUGAAACAGCUGUUAUUCAAAAACCUUUAACGAUGACCGAAUUUCUUAAAAGCUCUGAUCUUAAGGAAGUGCUUUUAGCAAUUUUGUCCACUGUUGGUGCGCUAUUUAUUGUUGUAUUGCUGAUUUUAUUUGGUUGGUUCAUGGUUUGGAAAUUAUUCUUGGUACGUUUUUCCUUUAUUCGUGAGUUGGUGUAUGGCAAUGAUGAACCAGCUGAGAAGAAAGAUAUGACACAAAUUUAUUCAAAAUCAAAUCACCCGUUACGAAGAAGUUCAAGACUUCGAGAAAGGCAGAAUAAAAAUCAACAUGGUCAAAUAUAACUAAAUAUUGAGGGGAUUACUGGGGGGUAGCCACAAAAUGUGAUCAGUGUACAAAAAAUGUUGGUAUUAGUAUAAAAAAUUGUUUGCAUUCAUGUAAAUAUUCACUUGAUAAUUUAUUUUCACAUUUAUUUAUGAAAAAAUCAUAUUACAUCGUCAAGACAAUUUUAUAUUUUAAAAAAUUUAAUAAAACUCUAACAGAGACUAUACCUGAGUAAUGGUGAAGAAAAAGCAUAACUUUUGCUAUUUCGAUGUCAAAUGUUGUAUACCAUUUGGAUAUUUAACUUUAAAUCUUUCAACAACAUCGGACUCCAUCAAACGAACUCCGUCUAGUUGAUUGCCAAGUGUUAACCUUGAUACACAAAAAUUUAUUUAGACUUCAUAGAAUGCAAACAAAUAAUAUUUUAAAUUAUACAUAGGAUAUAAAAACUUGAAACUCAAACAUUCACCAAUUUGGUUGCACAUUAUGAGGUCGACCAAACAGCUCUAAAGAAACAAAAUACCAAGAAAUCUAA